UCGAAGUACUAGCGUGCACCUCCGUCUAGCAUCUCUUUUGUCAGCUGAUCUCGAGACGGAUAGGAUAGGUGAGUCGUGAGUGCGUGCCGCUCUGUAUUCCAGAAAUCAUGUCGUCAAAUUAAUUAAUUACUCGUGCCACGUGUUAUUAAAUCUAAUGUUCCUCGCGUGUUAAGUCAAAAUAAUGCGGUAACGGGAUACGUUUAUUUCAGCAGCGCAAUACCGGCAAUCUAAUAGGAUACACAGACAAAGUAUUAACGAGAUGCAUCCGAGCCAUUCCAUGCUAUAUGCUUUCCGCUUGUCAGUGACUCAGGUGGCGGGCCCAGUAUUAUAUAAGAAUAAAAACUUUGAUCGCGGCGCAGCGACAUCCGCAAUCUUCCUCGCGACCAUUGGACUGUCGAUGAGCAUGUUCUCCUUAAAGCAGAUGCAGUCGACGCACCAACGCCGUUUGCGAAGACUCUGUUAAGAAUUGCGAUCAAAAUCAUAAUUCGCCGAUGAUAAAAAUCGACGGUCAAUUGAAAAUAAAAUUCAUCAAUUACUCACGAAAUAUAUGGCCCUCUUUAUCACAACCAAUGUUGCUUUAAAAGUAGUAACGCGAUGUACGUCGAAUCAAACCUUCUACAUAUAGUUUGCUCGUAUGAGAUCCUAGAUUUUUGAUGGAUGUAUGUAUAUUAGGCAAACUGCAGUUCCGUUGAAAUUGCAUGGCACGCUCUUCUCUUAGAACGUGAAUGACAGACUCUCACAAGGGUCGAAUCUAAAAAGAUCAUUAUGUCCUUGAUUCGCAGACGCGCGUACAAGACUGCGCGCUUUAAUUACAUUGAAUUCAGCACUUGGUACAGGAACUUGGUAAACGCGACCGGAAUUUUAUCAGAAAGUUCGUCGCAAACUCGAACGAGAAGCAAAACUUAUACGCUACCUGAUGCAUCAAGUGCAAUAUUUUUUUGGUGGGUACUUUGUCAUGUCAGGCAACAAACGGUCUUCUAGUCUUGCAAGCGAAUAAUGUUGCUUUUACGAAACGACUUAGCUUUGCAAAAGAUGAAUUUUUUAUGAAUCCAAGAGAAGAACUUUCGUAGAUAACCAAUAUAUCAGAAAAUUGCGUUACUUUUCAUCACGAUUUAUUCUAGUAUCUUUAUUUUCAGUCAUUCAUUUUCGAAAAUAGUUCCUUUCGAUGCAUGAUGACGCAUUUGCUGAUGCGAUGGUACUUCAUCAUCUUGUGGUAUAUUGUAUACAAUCUUUCCUUGAUAUCGAAUAGAAUCGUUCUGACGAGAAGAAAUAUUAUGUCGAAAAAUGUAACAUUAUUAUAACGUGAUUUCGUCAACGUUGAUCGCCAAACGUGGAUAAUUGAUUAAAACUAUAUUAUUUUACUAAGAUUAUAUAAAUUUUAUUUUUCCGCUUAUAAGAUUGCUUAUCUACAACUGUUCAUUAUAUUUAAAAAAUUUUAGAGCUCAUCCCUAUUAAUCGAAAGUUCUUCUCUGUGAGACAGCAACCAAGCUCGAUCCAAAGAGAACAGAUAUCUGUUCGUACUAGCUUGUAUUAACUGAAGGUUUAACAUUAAAUAGAAUCGAGUUACAACUUAACAUACAAUUCAUCGAUCGAACAUUGUUGAUAAUAUUUAUCCUCUUUUCAUCACUGUAAAAUUGCGCUGAAAUAUUACUGUCGAAUUUGAAAUAAAAUAUACGAAUUACUCACGUAUUAUUGUGUUCACACACAAUUGUCUGAUAAGUCAUUUAAAAUUUCCGUUUCUUUUUCUGUCAUUUCUGCAUGUUCACUGAAUUAAAAAAAUUCUAAUAAAACCUUAUUAAUCUUGAUUGAUAUUAUUUUUGAUUUUAUGACAAACUUAUCGCGCUAUUGCUACAGAAUUAUAUAUAUAUUGUUUUGUAUAAAUUUAUAUUUGUAUAAUCGUAUUAUGUGCCAUCUCUCAGAGCAUUUGUAAGAUUAAUCAUUGUUUUUAAUAAAAUAUUGAUCAAAUUAGCCAGAACUUAUCUUUAAAAAUGCAAGAUUUUUAAGAUGCUUAAACUUAGCAGAGAAAAGGAGAAAUAUAAAAUAUUAUAUAACAGAAAUGCAAAAUCGUAUGUAACACUGUAUAACGAGAAUAUUAUUAAUAAAAUGUAAAUAAUAUUAUUAAAAAA